UGAAGAGGCCAAACAAGGAGUACACCCAGAAGCGCUCCUCAACGUGUCGUUGGUUUCAGCAGCAGUAGUAGCCAAAGCACUGCGUUCACAGUCAGGAGACCUCGGCUCUGGCUACUCACCUUGGCAAGUCACUUACCUGUUAGGCAGGAAACGGUGAAGUGCGCUCCGAGGUGUCAACUUGAAAACACCCACACAUCCCACCCAGAUGCUGAACAGCGGUGGAUUCCUUCCCCUCAGAGACUGCGGUUGAAGAAGCUAUGGACCCUUGUGAUUACAUCAGACCCAGUUGGAUCAUCCAGGAUAAUCUCUCCAUCUCAAAAUCUUUAAUUUAGUCACAUCUGCAAAGUCCCUUUGGAUAUAAGGGGACACGGGUUCCAGCCCUGGUCCGGGAAGAUCCCACAUACCGCGGAAAAACUAAGCCAGUGCGCCACAACUACUGAGCCUGCGCUCUAGAGCCCCCGAGCCACAACUACUGAAGCCCACGUGCCUAGAGCCCGUGCUGCGCAACAAGAGAAGCCACUGCAAUGAGAAGCCCAUGCACUGCAGGGAAGAGUAGCCCCAGCUCACCGCAACUAGAGAAAGCCUGUGCGCAGCAACGAAGACCCA